CUCUCACCAUAUUAGGAUUAAAAAGAGGAUCCCUUAUGUGAUCAGAGCUAAAAACCUGCCGUGGUUUAUGUACCAUUCAGCUCUUGGUAUUGUGGCUCAUGCGUGGAGGGCCUAGUCAAAGGUGCAUCUGGAUCAAGUUACAUACAUGAGAAGAGAAUGGAGAAGAGGAGGAAAAGGUGCUGGUGUGGCAUAGCGCCAGUAGCAUACUUAGCACUACACAGCAGCAUACAUCAUUCUUAGAAAUACUUCUGAGGAAUUUUCAUUUUUUAAUUUGAUUUUUUAUCCAGCCUUCAUUACUUAUUAGGUAACUCAAGGUGGCGAACAUACAUAACAUCCUUUCUCUUCCUAUUUUCCCCACAAUAGCAAUCCAAUAAGAUGGGUUGGGCUGAGGGAGUGUGACUAGCCCAAAGUCACCUAGCCAGCUUUCAUGCCUGAGACAGAACUAGAAUUCACCGUCUUUUUAGUUGCCGCUUUAACCAUGACAGUAAAAUAACCCUAUUAUUUUGUUCUUCUCAUAAAUGUAAUUCAAUUAUUUAUAGCUGAUUUUGUGGUAUUUUCUAUUAUACUUCAUUCCUCUGUGUGUAACAUUCAAUUUACCACUACUGCAAGUAUUUAUACUUGUCUGAGACAAUGGUUUAUGACUAGGCCAU